GAUCCCGUGGCCUAACGGAUAAGGCGCCAGACUUCGGUUUUGAAACAGGGAGAUAUCUGGAGAUUGCGGGUUCAAGUCCCGUCGGGGUCG
rfam:Galdieria sulphuraria unplaced genomic scaffold scaf_7, whole genome shotgun sequence.